CACAUAGAGUGUGCGUGUGUGUAUAUACGAUCGAUCAGGGACAGAGGGUGAGGUGAAACCCUAGUUUCACCAAAAUCCAUCAAAUUGAAGGGGGAUUGAAGGGCUAAACUAAUGCAUGAACCAAGAUUUUCGAUCACUUUAGCGUUUCUACCAUCAUGUAAGUCGAAUUUUGGAACGUGUCAAGGAGAGGUCAAGCAUAGGAGGAUAACGGGUCAAGAUAAGGCAAGGUGACAAAUACACUUAUUGGAGUACUCGAGGUAAGUGAAUUUCGAUUCACUUUUUAGUAGGUUUAAUAGAUUUUAAUACUUAUGUUUACGAAACAUCAUGAAAGAACAUGUAAUAAUCAGAAGUACAAAGCCAAUAAUGCCUCAUUAUUGAAGAAGGUUGUAUUUAAGCCGAAAGUAAAUUGGUGGGUUUAAACGGGUCGAAUUUUAUGUGCAUAUGUUGCGUAAUGUAAUGAAAUUCGUUAUGGUUAAGGCCUUGGGUAAGAAUUUUUAGUCAUUAUGUAAGGGGAACAUUCUCGGACCAUUAGGAACAAGUUUUAUAUGAUUCGGUUGUCGGUUAGUGAAUGAACGGAUUGUUUCGUGUUAGUGUAGGAAAUUUUAUAAGUAUAUGUGUAUAGGAAUCCAAAGGGCAUGUGGGUUGAAUCAUAGAUUGUCUAUACUAUGUAAAGUAGUGAAUGUGACAUUCCGGCAUAAACCUACAUGUAAAAGAAGCUUGUGUAUAUAUUCGUGAUUAAUUGAUUGUGCGUAGGAAGGAACAUUGGCAUGUAUGAAGGUACGCAUGUAUAUAUAUAAGUGUAUAUAUAUAUAUAUAUGUAUGUAUGUAUGAUAAUAAGUACGUAGGUGUGAAUGUAUGUGUGAAUGAAUGUUCAAUGCUUAAGACAUAUGCAUGAACGUUAUCAAAGUGUUCGAGUAUUUAUGGUUACUAAUGAUGUGCGUUGAGUUGGAAUGUAAUGUAGGUAUGGGAUCGUUGGCUUCAUGAAGAAAUGGAGCUGGAUUUGGAUAAGAGUAUUUAAGAAAGCGCUUGGACAAUUCCACGACUACUUUAUAGAAUGCUCUACGAAAUUCUAUUAUAUAGUUUAAUGUUGUAUGGCAUGUUAAUGACUAAUGGUUUGGUUGUACGUGGUGUCCACAGGUAUCGCUUGGGUUUUCUCUACAUUUAUUGAAGUGAAGCGGACUUAGUUCGAGUUGAGAGCAAGGAUUGUACGGGGUAGAAUGGUCACAUAGUGUAACUCAUAUAGGUUUUGAAGUAUUAAUGUUAUAAAACGUUAUAAAUCCGUUUUAAUGAAUAUAUGGCAUUUCGCAUUU
rnacentral:lncRNA from 1 species